rnacentral:rRNA from 1 species
UCAGUUCGGACUGGAGUCUGCAACCCGACUCCACGAAGCUGGAUUCGCUAGUAAUCGCGCAUCAGCCACGGCGCGGUGAAUACGUUCCCGGGCCUUGUACACACCGCCCGUCAAGCCAUGGGAGCCGGGGGUACCUGAAGUGCGUAACCGCGAGGAUCGCCCUAGGGUAAAACUGGUGACUGGGGCUAAGUCGUAACAAGGUAGC